GUCCUCUUGAAAUUAAUUUGAGGUUUAACCUGCCCACUGAAAAUUUUAAAUGGCCGCAGUAAUUUGACUGUGCAAAGGUAGCAUAAUCAUUAGUUUUUUAAUUAAAAGCUUGUAUGAAGGGUUGGACGAAGUAAAAUCUGUCUCUAUUUAAUUUAAAUUAAAAUUUAAUUUUUAAGUCAAAAAGCUUAAAUAUAAUUAAAAGACGAGAAGACCCUAUAGAUCUUUAUAUUAUUUAGUUUAAUAAUAAUUAAUAAUUUUUAUAUAUUUUAAUAUAAAUAAUAUUUUAUUGGGGUAAUAAAAAGAUUAAAUAAAUUCUUUUUUUUAGUUACAUAGAUUGAUGAAUAUAUGAUCCAAUUUUUUUGAUUAUAAGAUUAAGUUACCUUAGGGAUAACAGCGUAAUUUUUUUAAAGAGUUCAUAUCGAUAAAAAAGUUUGCGA
rnacentral:rRNA from 1 species